rnacentral:lncRNA from 1 species
GUCAAACUCUGUGGUGGCGUUGGCGUCCUAGAGCUCCGGAGUUGCUUACCCUUCCUGUAAGGGCAAUCGGACCCUUUCCGGUGAGGGAACCUCUCUCCAGACAUGAUCAAGAGAAACUGGCGAGGGACUGACAUGAUCUAGCUUACCUUGGGUCACCGAACGGAUUUGGUUUGUUUGUUCUUUCUCUACCCCAAGAAAAAGUCGCUAGCUACUGCAAGGUUUUGUUUUCAAACAAGGAACAGCAUGCCAAAAGAAAGUGCUGCGCCUACCUGAUGAGCAAGGGAAUAAUAUUCUUCUAGAAAACUUCUUGUAGUAGUAUCAAGUCUCCCCUUGAUUCUGAUAAACAUUGCGCGCGAAGUUUACACUUUAAGGAGGAGGCCGUUUCCCCCUUCUGAAAAGAACUCAUGUGAGAAUAUAUCUCUGUUGUAUUCAAAAGGCAUGUGACAUAAUUAUCCCAGCGAUCACUAAAACUGUAAAUUUGGAUGCAAUUAAGAGAGAAAACUCCACACAUUUAUGGAAAUUUAAGAUUUGCAGCUUGCUGGCUUGCUGAGUGGAAAAUGAUUCUUUCCCAGUUCUCCUUGGUUUCUUCCUUUCAUGAAUUGAUUAACACUGAGAGAUUAUGUUUUAAUUAUGUCGACUAGAGGUUUUAAAUGAUUCUAGGUUUCUGUGUCCAUUUGUUUUCCUAGGUUUGGGGAAUUUGCUACUGCAAUAUCGUUGUAUAGAUAUUCUUUGCUUUAGUGAGAAACUCAGCUCCUUCUACUCUGUGGUUCUUAGCUUUAGUCUAUUGUACACAUCACAGAGUUAAUGAAAGCUGUGGUCAUACUUGAUUUUUUCUUCAUUACUAUUGAAAUAAAGCAUAUCCUUGACCUUGUCUCCAAUCUCUAUUUUCAAGUCUGUUGGGGAUACAUUCCACUAUUGUUUGAUUGAAAUAUCCAUUUCCAACAUUUCUAUUACUUUGCUUCUUUUUUUUUUGUCCCCACCAAAAAUAAAUAUUUAUAGAAUUGUAAAUCAAAAUGAAACAUUUUUCUGUAUGUAUAAAAACAAAAGGAAACAAACAAAUAAAAAAAUCUGCAUAUUGA